GAAGCAUGAUCGUAAGGACAUGUGGAAUGUUUAGAAGUGAGAAUGCCGGUGUGAGUAGCGAAAGAUGGGUGAGAAUCACAUCCACCGAUUGACUAAGGUUUCCAGAGGAAGGCUCGUCCGCUCUGGGUUAGUCGGGACCUAAGCCGAGGCCGAUAGGCGUAGGCGAUGGAUAACAGGUAGAUAUUCCUGUACCACCUAUGAUUGU
rnacentral:rRNA from 1 species